UACGUAGGGUGCAAGCGUUAAUCGGAAUUACUGGGCGUAAAGCGUGCGCAGGCGGAAUUGUAAGUCUGAUGUGAAAUCCCCGGGCUCAACCUGGGAAUUGCAUUGGAGACUGCAAGGCUAGAAUCUGGCAGAGGGGGGUAGAAGUCCACGUGUAGCAGUGAAAUGCGUAGAGAUGUGGAGGAACACCGAUGGCGAAGGCAGCC
rnacentral:rRNA from 1 species